UCGAGUGGCGAACGGGUGAGUAACACGUGGGUGAUCUGCCCUGCACUUUGGGAUAAGCCUGGGAAACUGGGUCUAAUACCGAAUAGGACUCCGGACUGCAUGGUCUGGGGUGGAAAGCUUUUGCGGUGUGGGAUGGGCCCGCGGCCUAUCAGCUUGUUGGUGGGGUGAUGGCCUACCAAGGCGACGACGGGUAGCCGGCCUGAGAGGGUGUCCGGCCACACUGGGACUGAGAUACGGCCCAGACUCCUACGGGAGGCAGCAGUGGGGAAUAUUGCACAAUGGGCGCAAGCCUGAUGCAGCGACGCCGCGUGAGGGAUGACGGCCUUCGGGUUGUAAACCUCUUUCGCCAGGGACGAAGCGCAAGUGACGGUACCUGGAGAAGAAGCACCGGCCAACUACGUGCCAGCAGCCGCGGUAAUACGUAGGGUGCGAGCGUUGUCCGGAAUUACUGGGCGUAAAGAGCUCGUAGGUGGUUUGUCGCGUUGUUCGUGAAAACUCACAGCUUAACUGUGGGCGUGCGGGCGAUACGGGCAGACUGGAGUACUGCAGGGGAGACUGGAAUUCCUGGUGUAGCGGUGGAAUGCGCAGAUAUCAGGAGGAACACCGGUGGCGAAGGCGGGUCUCUGGGCAGUAACUGACGCUGAGGAGCGAAAGCGUGGGGAGCGAACAGGAUUAGAUACCCUGGUAGUCCACGCCGUAAACGGUGGGUACUAGGUGUGGGUUUCCUUCCUUGGGAUCCGUGCCGUAGCUAACGCAUUAAGUACCCCGCCUGGGGAGUACGGCCGCAAGGCUAAAACUCAAAGGAAUUGACGGGGGCCCGCACAAGCGGCGGAGCAUGUGGAUUAAUUCNAUGCAACGCGAAGAACCUUACCUGGGUUUGACAUGCACAGGACGACUGCAGAGAUGUGGUUUCCCUUGUGGCCUGUGUGCAGGUGGUGCAUGGCUGUC
rnacentral:rRNA from 1 species